rnacentral:rRNA from 1 species
GACCGAGGGUGCGACCGUUGUUCGGAAUUACUGGGCGUAAAGCGCGUGUAGGCGGCCGCGCAAGUCGGGCGUGAAAUCCCACGGCUCAACCGUGGAAGUGCACUCGAAACUGCGCAGCUAGAGUCCUGGAGAGGAAGGUGGAAUGCUUGGUGUAGAGGUGAAAUUCGUAGAUAUCAAGCGGAACACCGGUGGCGAAGGCGGCCGUCUGGACAGUGACUGACGCUGAGACGCGAAAGCGUGGGGAGCAAACAGG